AGAAUAUUAAUGCUCUAUUAGAAAUUAGUGACCAUUCAUGUAAUUAAAAAACAAAAAGACAAUCUGAGAAUGGAUUUUGUGGUCAAAGAAACUUAGGUACUAGAAAAACCAUGGCGAUUAAGCCUCUGUUAAUCUUCUAUUUAUUAUUCAGAGAUUACAUCACCUUUUCUCUUCACCUCCUUAAGAUCCAUGAGGCAGAGGUGGGAGGUUCUCUUUGAAGGCUACACGUUUAACUUGCUUGUUUAGUUUCCCCUUAACUUCAGCAAGAAGAAAAAUUGUGGGGACAUGUAUAUUACUUACAAAUAAAUUCAAUGUCAUUCCCUUUUCUUCUCCACACCGUCUCCACACUCUCACUGAACUUUUCAAAGAAAAGUUAAUCUAUUCCAUUUUGCAAACUUAUUUCUGGAAUUGUCCCUGGUACCCAGGAUUAUCUAAGGUAUAUGAUCGCCUCUCCAUCUCUCACAGUUUUCCUCUUAACUAAGUAAAAAGUGGGAAUAGCUUACAGGAAUUUCUGAAAUAAGAUUAUUAGGACUUAUAAGGAACUUUUAUAAAAGGCUUUGACCUACUUAAAAGAAAUGGGUCCGAACUUGUAGGCACCUAUUGUCAGUUUGAAUAACACUACCUUCCAGAGUGGUGCUUUGCAGGAGUUCCGGUAUGUUCAGAACUUCCAUCCAAAUUCUAUAAUAAGCGUCAGAUUCAUUAAGAAGAACUCGUUCAUUUUCGCUGUGACUACAUUAAGGCCAGGCUUAAGGUGCCUCCAACUUCUGAGUGGCUUACUUUGCCAUUGCUCUUUCGGACUAAUGAAUGAACAAUACUAAGAUGAUCUUAAAGUGGUUACUCACACAUGAGAUCAUCACACUGGUGCCCCGCCGUAUGUUAUUAAAUUGUCCCCGUUCACAGCAUAUUCCAGAAAACACUUUCAGCUAGAGUGCUAACACUUGCAGUUAGGGAGUAGGUCAGAGUGACAAGAGUCCAAGAAGACAGCUGAGUCAUCCUGGGUGGAAUAUAUAAAGUCCCUGUGCUGCACUAGGACAGAGGUAACGCUUCCUCUGAGCUCCCAACCUCUUCAACAAACAUCAAAAGGUAGGACUGAAAUGGAGAGUGGGAACACUCAUUUACAGCAGGUCAUACCAAGAGCCAAAUUAAUUAAAAUGAAGAGAGAACUUUUGAAAAGAAAUAAUGAAUAAGCUUUUGGAUUAUUUGAUAAUCAAAUUAACGAAGAGGAGUAAAUUAUAUCAACACACUGAAAAAAGAUAUCAAUUUCUUGCUGACUUGACAAGAAAUACCAACAUUGAUUAAGAUAACAUAAAAUUCAUAAUAUGCUACUACAGACGGGGCAUUGUUAGCAAACUGGGUGAGGGUUGUAAAUGCAAGAGUAUUUGAAAUUCGUCACUGCUUGAGUAAAAUGGAAAUGCCCAGAAAUCUUACCAUUUGUCAUAUAAAGAAGUAACCAAAAGAGCCAAGAACAUACAAUGGGGAAAGGACAGUCUCUUCAAUAUAUCGUCUUGGGAAAACUGGACAGCCAUGUGCAAAAGAAUGAAACUGGACCACUAUCUUACACCACACACAAAAAUUAACUCAAAAUGGAUUAAAACUUGAAUGUAAGACCUAAAACCAUAAAAUUCCUAGAAGGAAACAUAGGCUCCUUGACAUCAGUCUUGGCAACGAUUUUUGGGAUCUGACUCCAAAAGCAAAGGCAAUAAAAGCAAAAUAAAGUAGGAAUACAUCAAACUAAAAAUCUUCUACACAGCAGAGGAGAUCACCAACAAAAUAAAAAGGUAAUCUACUGAAUGGGAGAAAAUAUUGGCAAGUCAAAUCUCUCAUAAGGGAUUAAUAUUCAAAAUAUAUAAAGAACUCAUACAACUCAAUAGCAAAAAAACAAUCCAAUUAAAAAAUGGGCAGAGGAUCUGAAUAGACAUUUUUCCAAGGAAGAAAUAUAGGUGGCCAACAGGUACAUGAAAAGAUGCUCAACAUCACUAAUCAUCAGGGAAAUGAAAAUCAAAACCACGGUGAAAUAUCACCUCACACUGGUUAGAAUGGCUAUUAUCAAAAAGACGAAAAAUAACAAGUUUUGGGAGGAUGUGGAGAAAAGGGAAUCCUUGUGCACUGCUAAUGGGAAUAUAAAUUGGUGCAGUCAAUAUGGAAAACAUAAUGGGGGCUUCUCAAAAAGUUAAAAAUAGAACUACCAUAUGAUCUAGAAAUUCCACUUCUGGGUAUUUGAAGAAAACAAAACACUAACUUGAAAAACUGUAUGCACCCCCAUGUUCAUUGCAGCAUUAUUUACAGUAGCCAAGAUAUGGAAGCAACUUAACUGUCCAUUGGUGGAUGAAUGGAUAAAGAAUGGAUAAAGAAGAUGUGGUAUAUAUAUAUAUAUAAUGGAAUAUUAUUCAGCCAUAAAAAAGAGUGAAAUCUUGCCAUUUGAAACAAUAUGGAUGGACCUUGAGGGCGUUAUGCUAAGUGAACUAAGUCAGACAGAGAAAGAACAAACACUGUAUGAUCUCACUUAUAUGUGGAACUUAAAAGACAAAACAAAACAAAAACCAAGCUCAUAGAAACAGAGAACAGAUUGGUGGUUGCCAGGGGUUGAAGGGUGAAAUGAGUGAAAGGAGUCAAAAGGUACAAACUUACAAUCAUAAAAUAAAAAGUCAUGGGCCUGUAAUGUACAGCAUGGUGACUAUAAUUAAUAAUACUGUAUUGCAGGUUUGAAAGUUGCUAAGAGAAUAAAUCUCAAAAGUCUUCAACACAAGAAAAAGAAUUUUAGUAACUGUAUGGUGCUGAUGUUAACUAGACUUAUUAUGGUGAUCAUUUCACAAUAUAUAUAAAUAUCAAAUAAUUAUUUUGUACACCUAAAACUAAUAUAAUGUGAUAAGUGAAUUAUACCUCAAUUUUUUUAAAAAAAGUAAUUAAGUGUAUGUAGCCAAAAAUGGUAUGAAAGUAUUAUUAUAGAGUUGCAUCAGGCAGUUAACGAAUUUGAAAAGUUAUAUUAUUUUGUGGAUUUUGUGAUGCCAGGGGAAUAUGUCAGGUUUUGGGGGUUAUUUUCUUUUUCCUUUUGCUGAGAAAGAUUAGCCCUGAGCCAACAUCUGUUGUCAAUCUUCCUCUUUUUUUGCUUGAGGAAGAUCAGCCCUGAGCUAACAUCUAUGCCAGUCUUCCUCUAUUUUAUGUGUGGGUUGCCACCACAGCAUGGCUGAGGAGUGGUGUAGGUCUGCGCCAGGGAUCCCAAGCUGUGAACCUGGACUGCUGAAGCAGAGCGCUCUGAACUUAACCACUAGGGCAUUGGGCCAGCUCCUAUGUCAGCUUUUUAAAAUGUGUAAUUUGUUGUGAUUUUCUUUCCUCAAUUGAAAUAAAUAUUCAUUUUAUAGCUAAUUCUGUAUUUGUAAUUUUCAUUAUUGUUUAAAAAUAAGAACUCCCAAAUUGUACAAGUUUCAAGCCCACAAAAUCUGGAUCUGUCCCUGGGUAAGGGAGAUAUGAAGGAUCAAAGGGAAGAAAUUCAGGGGUCUCCAUUCUGAGGGGCCUCAGUUGCCAGCUGACUUCUCCUCACAGCUGCUGAUGUGGCUUCCAUAGCCUGAGAGACCAGUGGAGUGCUGUGGACCUUUCACAGGUUCCCCACCUUUUCUCCCUUAUUUACUAGCACUAUUCAUGUGGUUACAGCAAUGGCUGUCUGCCACAACACUGAAUCGAGGAUGCUCUAUAGUAUGAAAUAGCUGUACAGGUGGCUUCAGGUAAAAGGUAAGCAGAGUGAUCAGUGCCAAAGUCAAAUGUGAGGAUAUUGCCUCUUGACACAUAAAAGAGCAUGCACGAGGCAGCAUAACGUAACGCCAAGGUGUUAGGAAAUAGGUAUUAACCAGAGGCAACUGCAGAAUUUCUAGGUAGGUUGGUUAUCUGUGUGAAAGGUGAAGAUAAGAGACAUAUAAACUGAGUUUGCAUAGCUAGCUCCAGCCUUUAUUUAAACUGUAUGUUACCUGGGGUGGCUCGCAGCAAGGGGCAUGCCAAUGAAGACUGUGUGGGCCAUGGGGUGGGUAAUGCACCUCUUUGCCCAUGCCGUCACGGGGGUCUGCCCUGACCCCUUGGCGUCUUGCAGCAAAAUAUCAGCUAGAGGCUGUAUUUGCUGCGGAAUUAUUUAGCUUGUUUUGUUUCAUCAAUCUCUUAAAACGGGCCACCAAACAUUUAAGAAUGUUGAAGUGCGUAUGAAUACAAAAGGUUGAGAACCACAAAACUAUAAGGGAACUCUUCUGAGUUCAGAUGUAAACUCUAACUUUGGAACAAUUAACCCCAGAGAAGCCUUCAGUCCACUCAAGGUUCUCUGUUCUCUAGUAAAUGAUGGACUUGACGAGAUCCUUCAACACAAAUUCCCUCAUCAUACAACUUGUGGGUCCAGGCAUGGUGCCUCCCACUGGGCACGUAAAGAACAGCAGGCAGGUACUUGAGCUUUUUAUCAGAGCUCAUUAAGCAGGAGGUGAGCACCUGUAUUGUGUGCACUAUGUGGUAAGUGCUUUGGGAAAGACAAGGCUGACAGGAAUCUAACUACGCUGACUCUGUUCUGGAAAGAACUGGAAGGAAAAGAGCUUUUGUUUUUUAUGGAAGUCAAAUCACUGCCUAAGAGAAAAGGAAUGGAAGGAAGAAAUUAUCCCAUGGUGAGAAUGGAGGUUAAUUGCUUAUUUCUUCCUCUGGGAUGCCUUUGCAAAGCAUGUAAUUCUUUUAUCUUCAGGGCCCUGACAUGUUUUAAUUAAUUUAUACUAACAUCCUAGUGUUUUAAUAUAUUUUUUCUUAUGAUAGAAAAAAAAUAUGCUUUAUAAGUGGCUUGGAGCCAUAGUGGGAACAAAAACGGAGAAUGGUGGAAAGGAUGUUAUGGCAGCUGCACACUUACUUGUCUCACUUCCUGAUUUUGCUGAAAAUCAGCUAAGAUUGCAUCCUUUCACCUUUACUCCAUUUUUUAAAAAAUCUGUUCCAUUUAAAAAUAAUCUUUAAAUAAGCAAUCCUACACUUUUAUUUAUUCAGACAAAAUCCUCAAAAGUUAUUUUUGAAAACCGAUUAAGGUUUAAGCUCCUACUUUUAAGAGACGAGCAUUUUUGCCAUGAGUUUCAAGGAGAGCUUAGAAACCUCCUUGAUAUUUGUAAAUCUCAGGGAGAUUGUCACAGUAGGAGCCAAACCAUAUCUUGGUUCGCAUAUAAUUUUCUGCACAGCUAAUAAGCUGGAACAGUUAAGAACUAAUCAUCGCGGCAUGGCUGUACCUGCUUUUCGAAGCUUGGCAGAAGAUAGCUGCAGCUUAAAGUACCAGAGGAGAGAAGAUGUAGUAUUAUUCCCUUUUAGAGAACAGGGACCAUUGAAGGAAAGAAUUAGAUAACUGUGUUUUCUGAAUUAUUUAUCUGGUGUCACAGAUGUCACAAGGCUUUUGGGGACGUUUUUGGUCAUUACUUAACGUGAGUGUUAAGAUGCACAGUCUAAAGGCUUUCCUAAUAAAAUUUAAGUCAUUCACUCUCCCUUCAAGGUUGGAAGAGGAGGGAACUUUUCUUGCUGCCAUUGCGUUCCACAGACGUGGGAAGUACAGCCAAGCAAAGAACCCGCAGAAGGAAAAAAGCUAGGCAUUUGCGAAGAAGUGGGGCCUGCGUUCCAUAUGGCUCGCCGGGGUGCAGAGCAGAUGGCCUGGGCAGCGUGCUCUAAGAGCCGACAGGAGCCAGCAGGCAGCCACUGAGCGUGCCCACCGAAGCCUGCCAUGUGAAAAGGCUUUCCAUCAGUUAGGGCAAGGAAAAGUGAUGAUUUUUAUGUUUAUGAUUCUCUGCUUUAUGCAUUUCUGGAGUGAAAUAAAAUGGCAGGAGGACAGGUGUGAGGAUAAGGUAGAAUAAUCUUUCGAUACGUCUACUGGUGCCGGAAGCCCAAGAAAACAGCUCUGGUUGCUAACGGAGGAGCCUAACGUGUCCCCAGUGAAAGCUGACUUUUGUGUAGUGCUUUAUGUGCCAGGCUUUUAAAAUGUCACAACCUUACUGGGUAGGUUUUAGUUUUGUUCCCAAUUUAAAAUGAGGAAAUGAGGCCCAAAGAGAGAUGCUUGAUCAAUGGUCCUCAGUGAGGCGGAGAGCCAUUCCUGACCUCAGUGUUCACGCAUAGCCGUGACUUCAGGCUACUUCUCCGGGAGAUGUGGACUUGCUGAAGAGCAGGUCCCCUUCUCUGUUAUACAUAUAGAGGGAAGGACAGAAGUCAUUCAUUCAAUCAACAAACAUUUACUGCCUGUCUGCAAUGUGCCAGGUGCCAUCAAGACCAAGUGGAUAUUUGAGGUGUGAGGACUCAGAAGGAUUUACAACCCAGUGAUUCGCAAUAAAAAAAUUUUCCUCCUCUAGAGAAUUCACUUUCACACCCCUUCGAAGUUAAUAUUUUAACAAGAACAGUGCCAUCAUAGUGCUCUGCUCUGCGGUUUGCGAUGGCUUGCUGUGGCAUUCUGGUGCCCUCUCGGGCCUUGCCCUCCGUCCUCAGGGACAUGUGCCUUCUGCGCCCCUCAAACUGGGGCACAUCCUGCUCCUCCCAACACGCCCAACACCUGCCUUCUUCGGCUUCUCUGAUGAUUCUCUUCCAUCUGCCUGGAACAAAUCACCUCUCACCUCAAAAUCCGUCUUGUCCAACUUAAACACAAACUUCCUCCACAAAACUGUCUCAGGACUCUGCCCAUACGCCACACCCAGAAGCUCUGCCCUCCCUGGGGACGUGCAGGACGCCUCGUCCACACCUCUCGGGACAUUGGGUACAUUUUGUCUGCACUGUGAUCAUUUUGUACUGGUCUUACCAACCCUUCUUGCCUGGGAGCUUUUGGGGGGAAGUCCUUUAGUUCAUCCAUCUUUGUGUACCCCAGGAUCUAGCAAUGGGUUGAAUAGAUGGCUGAAUAGGUAAUUUUCCUUGAACACAGUUCUUCUGUAUAUUAAAUCCAGAACCCUGGUUUUUAACCCUGUGGUGAAAAACCAAAUCAUGCCAGAUCGUGAGAAAGAACGUCAUUAUCAAAGGCCAAUCAGAGAUGGAUAACUUUCUCCUGGAACAUUAUGAUAGACAGUUUCUGAAAAGCAGGUGCCACAAAUGGGGAAAUUUUCAGUCUUUUUAGCAAAAUGUAUUGAUUUUUUUCAGAAUGGCAGUGAUUUUCCGUUUAUCCAAGCCUUAUUGCUACAGCUGUUGCUUUUCCAACCUCUCAGCCUCCGUCAUGCCCUCCGAGUUCUGGCAUUCGUCACCUCUGUCCUGUUUUCUUGCAUCACUCCUCAGCUGGGCUCUCUGACUACUGACUGUCUACUAUCAACCACCUCCCUUCACGCUAGAACGUGGUAUUUCUAAAAUAUCACUCUGAAGAGGCAAGAGGCCAUAGCGGUUAAGAGGCCAGACUCUGCAGUCAAUGACACUCAGGUCUGUGUCUCUCUGUGGCCACCCACUAGCUCUGUGACUUUGGACAAAUUACUUCUCCAAGCCUCAUUUUUCUCUUCCACAGUAUUGAAGAAAACAACUCUACUGUCUCAUAGCAUUGUUGUGAAAACUUCUCAUGCAAAAUGCUCAAGUAGCAUGCCUGGCAUAAAGUCUCGACUACUGAAUGCUAUCAUUUUAAUGUCAUUCCUUUGCUUUAAAAAACGAAGAAGAAGAAAAAACUUUAAGUGGAUUCUAAUAGGUUGCAAUAUAAAAUAGCCGAGUCUUGGCUUGGAAUAUAAAAAUAUAAAAUCCUUCCUCUUCCAGCCUCGUUCUAUCCUUACAGCAUGAUUUCCCGCUCCUUCCUUUUAUGUAAGCCCUCCCUUCAGCCAUAAAGAAUUUUUCAAUGUUCCGUGUCAUUCGCUUUCACACCCAUGAAUAUAUUGGUCUCUCUGACUGAAAUUCUCCUGAGCCCACCUGUUAAACUCCUCCAUCCUUCAAGAAUCAAGUACAAGCUCCUUUGUGAAGUCUCCUUAUCACCCCAGACAGAGUUAAGUCCCCCAUUUUGCUCCCAAAGCAUGCUAUUCUUAUUUCUGUUACAGUAAGUUUCGUAUGGCAUUGCCAUUGUUUAUCUUUUUCUCAUUAAUUUAUAACCUCUUCUAAGAACGUGGCUUAUUAAUGUCUGGUUAGAUAACACUAGUAGAAGUGCCUGGCAUAGAGUAAACUUGCAUAAAUAUUUGCAAAAUGAAUUAACAAAUGAAUAAAUCCAGGAACCAAAGGAAUCAUUCUUUGUGGAAGAAAGAUAUGAAGUCAGCUACCAUGCCUUGGGCCCAACUAUUUCACUUAUAAAAUGAAAUGACAAAAUAUAUACAUGCACUUGAAUGCACAGAGAAAUAAACAGUAAAUAAUAAAGGAGACAAUUUCAUAUCAGGGAAUGGUUUUAGAAAAUAGUGCGCUUUCUGUGCUUGCUCAGCUCAUCUUCUAAAGCCUUUCUUCACAUCUACAGUAAGUUCUGGGCAGUCAAAGUUCAUGAUGGUGACCUGGAGCCCUUAUAAGUCAAAACCCAUUUUCUGGUUACCUUUCUAUUGAAAAGACAUUCAGUCUAUUACAAUAGUCCAAUUCUUGGUCCAUCAGAGCUUACUAUAAUAAGAAAGCCAAUAGGCGUUAUACUUCUGAGACUCAUAAAAGCAAAUAAUCCUAGACAAAGGAAAACCUUUAUGCCCAAAGAUUUACUUUGCGUUAUUGCAUUUAACAACAACAAAAAAUAACAAACAAGCUAAAUGUCUAAAAUAUAAUGAUGUUAAGUACACUACGGCACAUUUAUUCAGUGGAAUUCUGCUUUUUCGAAUCACGUUGUCAGUGUGCAUGUAGUAUAAUGGGAAAACACUUACAAUAUAUUAAUUUUUAAAAUCAAGGUAUAUAACUGCAAAUUGACAAGGAUCACAACCAUGUAAUAAAAAUAAUGUAUAGACAAAAUACUGUAAAAAAUACAUCAAAUAUUAAUAAUAUUUGGGUAGUAGAGCCGUAAUUUUCUUUUCAGUGAGAAAGAUUGUCCCUGAGCUAAUAUCUGUGCCAAGUUUCCCCUGUUUUGUAUGUGGGCUGCCACCACAGCAUGGCUUGGCGAGCGGUGUGUAGGUCUGCACCCAAGAUACGAACUUGCGAACCACAGGCUGCCAAAGCGAAGCUCACGAUCUCAACCACUAUGCCCCUGGGCUGGCCCCCCAUAAGUUUUUUUUUUUUUACUUUUUUAGUAAUUUUCAAAUGUUCUGUAAUGAAAUCUAUUUUUAUUUUAAAAAUAUCACUUAAUUUUUUUAACCUAAAAGCAUACUUUGAUGGAUUAACCCUGCCAACUCAAACCAUUAGGCCAAUUUAAUCCAAUGUACAUUAGAAGUCUUGAUGACUCACUCAGCCUUCUUAAAAAGUUGCUCUACCAUAUUAGCUAAGCUUUUGUUUCCAUUCAGCAGGCUUCAACGGAGCACCUAUUGUGUGAAGUCUUUGUGUUAGGCACGGGGUUGGGAGAGAAAAGAUACAACGAUAAUACACACUGUCUCACAGUGGGCACUUCGCACUCCAGGUAUUCCCCAGGAAACCGUGAAGAGGAAACUGGGACAGUGGAUAUUCCUGACAACUACGCUGCUGAAUGCCCCGAGGGAGGCCAAAUCAUCUUCACUUGAGAACCACUAUGCAACACUGUGUAAACUUGGCAAAUGGAUCAGAGGCUGAAUCUCAAUGUGGAUAAAUCAAAGUGAAAAAGGCUCCAUCACAAACAGCUGUUGCCAUCUGCCAGGGAGAGCCCUUGGCAAAGAUGCUUGACCAACCUCUGCCAAACCCUCCUGUGUUGGAAAUGUCUAC
ensembl:lncRNA